rnacentral:rRNA from 1 species
AUUGAACGUUGGCGGCAUGCUUUACACAUGCAAGUCGAACGGCAGCGCGGGCUUCGGCCUGGCGGCGAGUGGCGAACGGGUGAGUAAUGCAUCGGAACGUGCCCAGUAGUGGGGGAUAGCCCGGCGAAAGCCGGAUUAAUACCGCAUACGACCUGAGGGUGAAAGCUGGGGACCGAUAGGCCUCGCGCUAUUUGAGCGGCCGAUGGCGGAUUAGCUAGUUGGUUGGGUAAAGGCUUACCAAGGCGACGAUCCGUAGCUGGUCUGAGAGGACGACCAGCCACACUGGGACUGAGACACGGCCCAGACUACUACGGGAGGCAGCAGUGGGGAAUUUUGGACAAUGGGGGCAACCCUGAUCCAGCCAUGCCGCGUGCGGGAAGAAGGCCUUCGGGUUGUAAACCGCUUUUGUUCGGGAAGAAAUCCUCUGGGCUAAUACCCCGGGGGGAUGACGGUACCGGAAGAAUAAGCACCGGCUAACUACGUG